UGCCAGCCGCCGCGGUAAAACGGAGGGUGCAAGCGUUGUUCGGAAUUACUGGGCGUAAAGCGCGCGUAGGUGGUUUGGUAAGUCAGAUGUGAAAGCCCCGGGCUCAACCUGGGAAUUGCAUUUGAAACUGCCUCACUAGAGUAUGGUAGAGGGAAGUGGAAUUCCGGGUGUAGCGGUGAAAUGCGUAGAUAUCCGGAGGAACAUCAGUGGCGAAGGCGGCUCCCUGGCCAAAGACUGACGCUCAUGUGCGAAAGUGUGGGUAGCGAACAGGAUUAGAUG
rnacentral:rRNA from 1 species